UACGUAGGGUGCGAGCGUUGUCCGGAAUUACUGGGCGUAAAGCGCACGUAGGCGGCUUUGUAAGUUAGAGGUGAAAGCCCAGGGCUUAACCCUGGAAUUGCCUUUAAGACUGCAUCGCUAGAAUCGUGGAGAGGUGAGUGGAAUUCCGAGUGUAGAGGUGAAAUUCGUAGAUAUUCGGAAGAACACCAGUGGCGAAGGCGACUUACUGGACGACUGUUGACACUGAGGUGCGAAAGCGUGGGGAGCAAACAGG
rnacentral:rRNA from 1 species